GGCGCUUUGGCGGAGUGGUUAACGCGGUGCCCUGCUAUUGUGCAACUGUAUGAUACAGGGAGGCAUUUCCUUCGGGAGCGUAGGUUCGAAUCCUGCAGGCGUCG
rnacentral:tRNA from 1 species